rnacentral:rRNA from 1 species
GAUGAACGCUGGCGGCGUGCUUAACACAUGCAAGUCGAACGGAAAGGCCCAAGCUUGCUUGGGUACUCGAGUGGCGAACGGGUGAGUAACACGUGGGUGAUCUGCCCUGCACUUCGGGAUAAGCCUGGGAAACUGGGUCUAAUACCGGAUAGGACCACUUCUUGGAUGGUGGGGGUGAAAGUUUUUUCGGUGUUGGGUGGGCUCGCGGCUUAUCAGCUUGUUGGUGUGGUAAUGGCCUACCAAGGCGUGGACGGGUAGCCGGCCUGAGAGGGUGUCCGGCCACAUUGGGACUGAGAUACGGCCCAGACUCCUACGGGAGGCAGCAGUGGGGAAUAUUGCACAAUGGGCGGAAGCCUGAUGCAGCGACGCCGCGUGGGGGAUGACGGCCUUCGGGUUGUAAACCCCUUUCGCUAGGGACGAAGCGUUUUGUGCCGGUACGUGGAGAAGAAGAACGGGCAAACUCCGU